CUCCGCCUGCAGCGCGAGCUUCAUCAGACCGCGCUACUCCUGCCACACUUCACCCAUCAGCGUGCGGUGCUCCUUCUCCAUCUCCUCCCGCAUGCGUAGCCCCCCCCCCCCAAUAGAUCAGCUCUGCCCCGACCUGGCCCUCCACCUCCCGCGUGAGCUCGAAGCAGGCGUCCUCCAUCAGCUCCCGCGCGUUGCGCUCCACCUCGUACCUCUGCGCCUACUGCUUUGUUGCCGCCCGUGCCUCUGCCAGGUUGCGCAGCAGCCUGGCGUUGGCCUGCUCCAGAUGUCGUCGGUGCCUCCGCUCUGCGCCGAGCUCGUUCUGGAGGGUGGCCACGGUGUGGCGGGAUUUUACUCGGACCUAGGAUUUCCACGCCGCUUUUCCCAGUGCCCUCCCACAAGUCGCCUCCCAUACCUCUGUCUGUCGCCCUCCUCGCCACGCCUCCCAUCGCCUGAGCGCACUUUUGUGCCCGUGAGGGCGACCCGCGGUAAGGUGCUGGCAGCAUGGGCUGUCGCGAUAUCUGCUCACAAGGUCUCUCCGUCACUUGAGCGUGAUCACUCCCACGACGGCGACCUGCGGCAUGCCGUCAGCGGCGCAGCACAGACUUCCACGACUUCUUUUUCCUAACGACUGUCGUUCGUGAUUUGUUCAUUUCGUGUCAAGCUUCUGUUCUAAGAUGAUUGUUCUGUUCUUAAACACAUCACUUUUAUGCCAGAUUCUUCUUAAGUUUCAUUCAACAAAUUUUGGUAUUACUCCCUUCGUCCCCUUUUGAUAACCAUAAUAGGGAAAAAAUAUGUACCAUAUUGAUCGUCAAUUUGUCAAGGAGGGAGCCUUAUCAGCGUAAAUGUGGCAUUAACCACUUGAGUUUCAGCUCCAAUGCAAGUUCCAUUGGUUCUCCAUGCAAGAGGGAUGCCGCAGCGCGACGUUCUCAAUCAAGGAGAUCCACUAGCCGGUGCUCAGGCUGUGGCAGCCGGCGGCGAAGGCCGAAAUGCUGCUGCUCAAUUCGUGCACUAUCCCAGAGUAUGUCUGUAGCUGAGUAGCAGUUGUCGCAUCUGUUCUCUAUUUUGGUCCUAAUUACUUGUUCGAUAUUCUGUCAAUAGCAGUAGUAAUCAGAUCGACUUACCCAAUUAAUUUAAUUAAUUUGUCCAUAUGAUAUUGCAUUUUGGGGAGGCCUUGAUUGGUGGUCAGGAAGUCGCUAUCCAAGGGCUAAGUAAAGAUUCAGAAUAAGCUUUACAUUGACCACUUGAGUUCCAUCUCCAAUGCAAGUUCCAUUGGUUCUCCAUGCAAGAGGGAUGCCGCAGCGCGAUGUUCUCCAUCAUGGAGAUCCACUAGCUGGCGCUCGGGCUGUGGCAGCCGGCGGCGAAGGACGAAAUGCUGCUGCUCAAUUCGUGCACUAUCCCAGAGCCUUGAUUGGUGGUCAGGAAGUCGCUAUCCAAGGGCUAAGUAAAGAUUCAGAAUAAGCUUUACAUUGACCACUUGAGUUCCAGCUCCAAUGCAAGUUCCAUUGGUUCUCCAUGCAAGAGGGAUGCCGCGACGCGACGUUCUCCAUCAAGGAAAUCCACUAGCCGGCGCUCGGGCUGUGGCAGCCGGCGGCGAAGGUCAAAAUGUUGCUGCUCAAUUCGUGCACUAUCCUAGAGUAUGUCCCUAGCUGAGUAGCAGUUGUCGCAUCUGUUCUCUAUUUUGGUCCUAAUUACUUGUUCGAUAUUCUGUCAAUAGCAGUAGUAAUCAGAUCGACUUACCCAAUUAAUUUAAUUAAUUUGUCCAUAUGAUAUUGCAUUUUGGGGAGGCCUUGAUUGGUGGUCAGGAAGUCGCUAUCCAAGGGCUAAGUAAAGAUUCAGAAUAAGCUUUACAUUGACCACUUGAGUUCCAUCUCCAAUGCAAGUUCCAUUGGUUCUCCAUGCAAGAGGGAUGCCGCAGCGCGACGUUCUCCAUCAAGGAGAUCCACUAGCUGGCGCUCGGGCUGUUGCAGCCGGCGGCGAAGGCCUAAAUGUUGUUGCUCAAUUCGUGCACUAUCCCAGACUUUACAUUGACCACUUGAGUUCCAUCUCCAAUGCAAGUUCCAUUGGUUCUCCAUGCAAGAGGGAUGCCGCAGCGCGACGUUCUCCAUCAAGGAGAUCCACUAGCUGGCGCUCGGGCUAUUGCAGCCGGCGGCGAAGGCCGAAAUGCUGUUGCUCAAUUCGUGCACUAUCCCAGAGCCUUGAUUGGUGGUCAGGAAGUCGCUAUCCAAGGGCUAAGUAAAGAUUCAGAAUAAGGUAUUAUGGAGUUCAGGAAUGAAGUUAUUCUAACUGCCAAAUCGAUCCUAAUAUAUACGAUUGUCUAGCUGUCUGCCUGACAGAAGUUUGGAUGCUAUCCUUUUUGGUACGCUUUGAUAAUCAAUACACACUAAACCUUAAAUCUUUUUGGGUUAUUAUUCUCUUAACAAAUAUCUUACAUGCAUGUAGUGCUUUUAUUUGAAUAUGCACAUAGAUAAUUCAAGGAAAGAUUUACUAGAUUGGCCAAUGUGAUUUAACAUAAACAAAAUCACUUCUCAGUUCUCACCUACGGCCACUUCCUCGUUUUUUAAAACAAAAUUUGUUGGUACUUAGGAAUGGGUGGUGUGUUUUGGUUUUCGUCUUGUGGUUUCAGCUUUACUUUCCAAUGAUAUUUUUCACUUUACCAUUUAUUAUAUAAUGUCCAUUGUGUGCUAAAUUUUUCUGUUUAUUAUAUAAUGUUUAAUGAGAAGUGUGCAUUUAUUUUUUCUUUGCUAUCCUACCAGACGUAUAUACUUGACGACAGUUACUAUAGAGUUUAAUUGUUUGGGUCUUGUACAUUCUGUUAUUAGUUUGAUCUGAUUU